GGAAUGUUUAGCGUGAGCGACGCAAACUGAGGCCCAGUCGGCAAUGUAUAUUCCAGCAGAGGCUGUGGAGAUAUCCAAUGGAAAUGUACAUUGAGCUGGUUAAUAGGGUGGGGUCAGCUAGAGAUUUAGCUCCACUGACCUGACUGCAGACAGCUGGAAACUGUCCCCAUGUCUGUCUGUCCACCGUCCGUCAAACACAAGUUCUGUCAGUACCCAGGACCGUGCUCUAAGGACUAUGGUUAGUUGAACUGUAUGUAUCCCCAUGCAGAUUGACCAACAUGGCGGAGUAGGUUGAAAACUACAUCACUUCCUCGGAAAACAGAGCUGUUUCGUAAUAAUACUGAUUAUUAAGAACACCACUAAGAACUGUAACACCACCUCAAAUAAGUAUUGUUUUACUGACUGGUUUAGUGUUAGAGUUACAGUCCCGUCUGUUCUGGUUCUUGUGGUUAAUGUGAUUACUUGCAGGUGUUGUUAUUUGCCAUGCUGGCGUUAGUUGGUCAAAGUAACUGCCUAAUGAAUACAUUUAGCCUAAGUGUAAAUAACUCAUGAGUUAGAGAAUGUGUUAAACUUGUGAUAAAUUCGAGUAACUCCAGUAGGCUACGGAGUUUCACAUUCAUUUUAAAAU